rnacentral:rRNA from 1 species
UACGUAGGGUGCAAGCGUUAAUCGGAAUUACUGGGCGUAAAGCGUGCGCAGGCGGUUCGUGAUGUCUGAUGUGAAAGCCCCGGGCUCAACCUGGGAAUUGCAUUGGAAACUAGCGGGCUGGAGUGUGGCAGAGGGGGGUGGAAUUCCACGUGUAGCAGUGAAAUGCGUAGAGAUGUGGAGGAACACCGAUGGCGAAGGCAGCCCCCUGGGCUAACACUGACGCUCAUGCACGAAAGCGUGGGGAGCAAACAGG